AGAGUUUGAUCCUGGCUCAGGAUGAACGCUGGCGGUCUGCUUAACACAUACAAGUCAAACGGACUCUUCGGAGUUAGUGGCGGACGGGUGAGUAACGCGUGAGAAUCUACCUUCAGGACGGAGACAACAGUUGGAAACGACUGCUAACCCCCGAUGAACCGAAAGGGCAAAUAUUUAUAGCCUGAAGAAGAGCUCGCGUCCGAUUAGCUAGUUGGAGAGGUAAAAGCUCACCAAGGCGACGAUCGGUAGCUGGUCUGAGAGGACGAUCAGCCACACUGGGACUGAGACACGGCCCAGACUCCUACGGGAGGCAGCAGUGGGGAAUUUUCCGCAAUGGGCGAAAGCCUGACGGAGCAAUACCGCGUGAGAGAUGACGGCCUAUGGGUUGUAAACCUCUUUUUUCAGGGAGGAAGAAAAUGACGUGUACCUGAAGAAUAGCUCGACUCGCGUG
rnacentral:rRNA from 1 species